ACAACAUUCGGACCGUCGCGACGGUCUAUCAAGCAAUAUCACCCGCUCGGUGGGAAAUAUUCUCUUUGUCGU
rnacentral:pre_miRNA from 1 species